rnacentral:rRNA from 1 species
UUUGCCUACGGGACGCAGCAGUAGGGAAUCUUCCACAAUGGGCGAAGGCCUGAUGGAGCAACGCCGCGUGGGUGAAGAAGGUCUUCGGAUCGUAAAACCCUGUUGUUAGAGAAGAAAGUGCGUGAGAGUAACUGUUCACGUUUCGACGGUAUCUAACCAGAAAGCCACGGCUAGCUACGUGCCAGCAGCCGUGGUAAUACGUAGGUGGCAAGCAUUAUCCGGAUUUAUUGGGCGUAAAGGGAACGCAGGCGGUCUUUUAAGUCUGAUGUGAAAGCCUUCGGCUUAACCGGAGUCGUGCAUUGGAA